UGAAAAUGGAUGACGCUAAAGCGGACAGCCGACACCACGCCGUUUGGGUAAGACACGGNCUAAAUGAGUAGGAGGGCGUGGCGGUCUUGUAAAGAAGGUGAGAGCGCAAGCUCCACUGAAACGGCCGCUAGUGCAGAUCUUGGUGGUAGUAGCAAAUAUUCAAGCGGGAUCCUUGAAGGGCGAAGCGGGGAAGGGUUCCACGCAAACACUGAUUGGGCGUGGGUGAGUCGUGCCUAAGCCAGCUGGUAAUGGUUGAUCAAAACUGGCGAAAGGGAAGCGGGUUAAAAUUCUCGCACACGGAUGUGGAGGCGGUGACGCAAACCGAGUCGAAGACGUCGGUGAUAGCGCUGGGCAGAGUUUUCUUUUCUGUUUGACCUGCGAGACGCAUAGUGUGGAAUCCGAUUAUCGGGAGAAACACAUGCCGAGGGGCAGAGCGCCGGGAUUCUCCGGCGUCCAGCACGCUAUUGACGACCCUUGAAAAUUCGAUCUCGACAAUGUGCUUUUU
rnacentral:rRNA from 1 species